GAUGAACGCUAGCGGCAGGCUUAAUACAUGCAAGUCAAGGGGUAGCAAUACAACCGGCGCACGGGUGAGUAACGCGUACACAACAUACCAUAUACUGGAGUAUAGCUUUGGGAAACUGAAGGUAAUCCUCCAUAACAUUGCGAGAGGGCAUCUGAUUGCAAUUAAAGUUUCGGCGGUAUAUGAUUGGUGUGCGUUUGAUUAGCUAGUUGGUAGGGUAACGGCCUACCAAGGCGACGAUCAAUAGCUGGCGUGAGAGCGCGACCAGCCACACUGGAACUGAGACACGGUCCAGACUCCUACGGGAGGCAGCAGUAGGGAAUAUUGGACAAUGGAGGAAAC
rnacentral:rRNA from 1 species